GGACAAAUGAUCGCGGCUGCAAAUGCCGAAAGGCUGCAGGUGAGGAAAGUCCGGGCUUCAUAGGGCAGAAUGCCGGAUAACGUCCGGUGGAGGCGACUCCAAGGAAAGUGCAACAGAAAUAUACCGCCACAGAACUUGUCACAUGACAAGUUCUGCGGAAGCUGCGUAAGCAGCUUCGGAUUUUAACUCUGUUAAAAUCUGGUAAGGGUGGAAGGGCAGUGUAAGAGACUACCGCCUUUCUGGUAACAGGAGGGGCAUAUGUAAACCCCAUUCGAAGCAAGACCGAACAAAAGCGUUGACGUGGCCCGCCAGCUUUAGGUAGGUCGCUUGAAAUGGCUGGUAACAGUCAUUCUAGAAAGAUGAUCAUUCGUGUCUGCGUCAGCAGACGGACAUAACCCGGCUUAUCGUCCUGCUUAU
rnacentral:RNase_P_RNA from 1 species